rnacentral:rRNA from 1 species
UACGGAGGGGCAAGCGUUGUUCGGAAUUACUGGGCGUAAAGGGCGCGCAGGCGGCUGCUCAAGUCAGGCGUGAAAGGCCUGGGACUCAACCCGGGAAUUGCGCUUGAGACUGGGCUGGCUUGAGUGCGGGAGAGGAUGGUGGAAUUCCCAGUGUAGAGGUGAAAUUCGUAGAUAUUAGGAAGAACACCGGUGGCGAAGGCGGCCCACUGGUCCGGUAC